CUCUCGAGUCCGGGCCGCAAGUCCCAGACGCUGCCCAUGGAGGCGUCCAGCGAGCCGCCGCUGGAUGCUAAGUCCGAUGUCACCAACCAGCAGUAUUAAAAUGAAGAUACUUUAUGUAAAUAUGACCAGCGUUGAAACUAAAAGUUGAGUGUAACUGCAGUAAAAUUGAAUAAAUAUCUGCAUUCCAGAAUUUCUACAGACAGUUCAAGGAAAUUGCUGCAGUUAUUGAAACGGUGUGAAGACGGAUUCUUUGGUUGAUAAAUUGCUAUCAUUCUAAAGUCAUGGACUUCACUUUCGGCAACAAAACUAAAUAAGGAUGGAACAUUUAUUGAAUGAAAAAUGCACUUUUGUUUUUCCAUUUUUUUAAAUAAUAAAAAUCAGACAAACAGGAA
rnacentral:lncRNA from 1 species